AUGAACGCUGGCGGCGUGCCUAAUACAUGCAAGUCGCGCGAACAGACGAGGAGCUUGCUCCUCUGACGUUAGCGGCGGACGGGUGAGUAACACGUGGAUAACCUACCUAUAAGACUGGGAUAACUUCGGGAAACCGGAGCUAAUACCGGAUAAUAUAUUGAACCGCAUGGUUUAAUAGUGAAAGACGGUUUUGCUGUCACUUAUAGAUGGAUCCGCGCCGCAUUAGCUAGUUGGUAAGGUAACGGCUUACCAAGGCAACGAUGCGUAGCCGACCUGAGAGGGUGAUCGGCCACACUGGAACUGAGACACGGUCCAGACUCCUACGGGAGGCAGCAGUAGGGAAUCUUCCGCAAUGGGCGAAAGCCUGACGGAGCAACGCCGCGUGAGUGAUGAAGGUCUUCGGAUCGUAAAACUCUGUUAUUAGGGAAGAACAAAUGUGUAAGUAACUAUGCACGUCUUGACGGUACCUAAUCAGAAAGCCACGGCUAACUACGUG
rnacentral:rRNA from 1 species